CGAUCGGGAGGCCGUCAUUGGGACGACGGCCAUGAAUGGAUCGCACCCCCGCUCUCUCUGAUGGCCGUGCGGCUGUGGCCCGACAGCACGCAAG
rfam:Roseovarius nanhaiticus strain DSM 29590 genome assembly, contig: Ga0104494_101